GAAUGCUGGCGGCGUGCCUAAUACAUGCAAGUCGAGCGGUAACAGGGGGCUCCACCGUGUUCUUGACACACCUAGCGCUAUGUUCGUAGGUAGUGAAACUUCGAGAGCACAGUGGAGCCCCGCUGACGAGCGGCGGACGGCUGAGUAACGCGUGGGAACGGACCCCAAACUGAGGGAUAACUACUCGAAAGAGUGGCUAAUACCGCAUAUGAUCUUCGGAUUAAAGCUUUCGGGCGGUUUGGGACUGGCCUGCGUACGAUUAGAUAGUUGGUAGGGUAAUGGCCUACCAAGUCGACGAUCGUUAGAUGGUUUGAGAAGAUGAUCAUCCAGACUGGGACUGAGACACGGCCCAGACUCCUACGGGAGGCAGCAGUAGGGAAUCUUUCACAAUGGGCGAAAGCCUGAUGGAGCAACGCCGCGUGCAGGACGACGGCCUUCGGGUUGUAAACUGCUUUUAUAACCGAGAAAUAUGAUGGUAGGUUUUGAAUAAGGACCGGCUAACUACGUGCC
rnacentral:rRNA from 1 species